rnacentral:rRNA from 1 species
GAUGAACGCUGGCGGCGUGCCUAAUACAUGCAAGUCGAGCGAACGGACGAGGAGCUUGCUCCUUUGACGUUAGCGGCGGACGGGUGAGUAACACGUGGGUAACCUACCUAUAAGACUGGGAUAACUUCGGGAAACCGGAGCUAAUACCGGAUAAUAUUUCGAACCGCAUGGUUCGAUAGUGAAAGAUGGCUUUGCUAUCACUUAUAGAUGGACCUGCGCCGUAUUAGCUAGCUGGUAAGGUAACGGCUUACCAAGGCAACGAUACGUAGCCGACCUGAGAGGGUGAUCGGCCACACUGGAACUGAGACACGGUCCAGACUCCUACGGGAGGCAGCAGUAGGGAAUCUUCCGCAAUGGGCGAAAGCCUGACGGAGCAACGCCGCGUGAGUGAUGAAGGUCUUCGGAUCGUAAAACUCUGUUAUUAGGGAAGAACAAACGUGUAAGUAACUGUGCACGUCUUGACGGUACCUAAUCAGAAAGCCACGGCUAACUACGUGCCAGCAGCCGCGGUAAUACGUAGGUGGCAAGCGUUAUCCGGAAUUAUUGGGCGUAAAGCGCGCGUAGGCGGUUUUUUAAGUCUGAUGUGAAAGCCCACGGCUCAACCGUGGAGGGUCAUUGGAAACUGGAAAACUUGAGUGCAGAAGAGGAAAGUGGAAUUCCAUGUGUAGCGGUGAAAUGCGCAGAGAUAUGGAGGAACACCAGUGGCGAAGGCGACUUUCUGGUCUGUAACUGACGCUGAUGUGCGAAAGCGUGGGGAUCAAACAGGAUUAGAUACCCUGGUAGUCCACGCCGUAAACGAUGAGUGCUAAGUGUUAGGGGGUUUCCGCCCCUUAGUGCUGCAGCUAACGCAUUAAGCACUCCGCCUGGGGAGUACGACCGCAAGGUUGGAACUCAAAGGAAUUGACGGGGACCCGCACAAGCGGUGGAGCAUGUGGUUUAAUUCGAAGCAACGCGAAGAACCUUACCAAAUCUUGACAUCCUUUGACCCUUCUAGAGAUAGAAGUUUCCCCUUCGGGGGACAAAGUGACAGGUGGUGCAUGGUUGUCGUCAGCUCGUGUCGUGAGAUGUUGGGUUAAGUCCCGCAACGAGCGCAACCCUUAAGCUUAGUUGCCAUCAUUAAGUUGGGCACUCUAAGUUGACUGCCGGUGACAAACCGGAGGAAGGUGGGGAUGACGUCAAAUCAUCAUGCCCCUUAUGAUUUGGGCUACACACGUGCUACAAUGGACAAUACAAAGGGCAGCGAAACCGCGAGGUCAGGCAAAUCCCAUAAAGUUGUUCUCAGUUCGGAUUGUAGUCUGCAACUCGACUACAUGAAGCUGGAAUCGCUAGUAAUCGUAGAUCAGCAUGCUACGGUGAAUACGUUCCCGGGUCU